UCAUUUGUAGUGAAUGUGACACAGAGCUGGUAUCAUGCAGAGGAGAACCACAACAUCUCACUGGAAUGGAUGUUCCCCACCAGCACGGACCCCUCCCCCAACGCCCUUCAUGUCUCCUGUGAGACGUUAAUUAAUCAGAUACACUCAGUCCUGUUUCAUCUGUAUGAAGGUGUCGAGAUCCCAGAGAUGCAGGAUAAACACUUUGCAGGACGAGUCCAGUGGGACAAAGACGUCCUCAGAGAAGGACGACUCAGACUUCACAUCUCCAGACUCCAGACUAGUGACUCGGGGCUGUACUGGUGUCAAGUGGACACAAGUUAUGGGAUGAACUAUAAGGAAUGUCACCUCAAUGUCACUGCAGUGAAGGAUCGACCCGAACCUGAGACAACGACUGAUACCAGACUGAGAUGGAUCGGCCUCUACUGUGCACUGGGACUGACAGCAGCUCUACUGGUUGUUUAUUUUUUUUAUCUCUGCUUUUCAAACAAGACCAGUGAUCAGCAGAACAUACGAUACACCAGAAACACAAUUCAAGUGAUUGAUCCUUUAAGAUUUUGCACAGAAACAGUCUGAGUUGUUCUGACUGAAGUCCAGCUGAGACACAUCUGGAUCUUUGGAUGUCUCCUGUGUGUCUCAUGGACCAACAGCAGCAUGAAGGUAUCAGUGAGUCCACAGAGACACGUGUGACUCAGGGAGCCCAGCUGGUGAACGCUGAGCCCUCGUUGUUUGUGUGAAGGUCAGUUAGUUUAGUUUCAUCAGGACCAAACUGAUUCACCUUCUGACAUCACAGCAUGAAUGUAAGUCAAUGGUUACAUGAAGUGUCAGGGAGACUGUGGGUGUAGAGUCCAAUCAGAGGAUCAACGGUUGACAUACUUUUGUUUUUUGUUCUAGACCUUCAGCUCCUCUAACAGAGACUCUGACUACUGAACAUAUUCUGCAUUAAGCAUCAUGCUGCUCGUCAUCAAAGACUAAUGUUUAUUCUGGUUCCUGUUCAUAAAGAAAGGAAACACAUUCAUAUUCUGUAUGUUAAGCCUGUAAAAAGAAAAAUAGAUCCUCACGAUGCCUCAA